rnacentral:rRNA from 1 species
UACGGGGGGAGCAAGCGUUGUUCGGAUUUACUGGGCGUAAAGGGCGCGUAGGCGGCCUGUGCAAGUCAGUUGUGAAAUCUCCGAGCUUAACUCGGAAAGGUCAACUGAUACUGCUCGGCUAGAGUGCGGAAGGGGCAACUGGAAUUCUUGGUGUAGCGGUGAAAUGCGUAGACAUCAAGAGGAACACCUGCGGCGAAGGCGGGUUGCUGGGCUGACACUGACGCUGAAGCGCGAAAGCCAGGGGAGCGAACGGG